rnacentral:rRNA from 1 species
CUGCGAGUGAAGCGGGACGAGCUCAAAUUUUGAAUCUGGCGGUCCCUCCAGGCCGUCCGAAUUGUAAUCUAGAGAAGCGUCUUCCGCGCUGGCCCGUGUACAAGUCUCCUGGAAGGGAGCAUCUUAGAGGGUGACAAUCCCGUCUAUGACACGGACAUACCAGGGCUUAUGUGAUGCGCUCUCGACGAGUCGAGUUGUUUGGGAAUGCAGCUCAAAUAGGGUGGUAAAUUCCAUCUAAAGCUAAAUACAGGCGAGAGACCGAUAGCGUACAAGUACCGUGAGGGAAAGACGAAAAGAACUUUGAAAAGAGAGUUAAACAGUACGUGAAAUUGCUGAAAGGGAAACGCUUGAUGUCCAGUCGCGUUCGCCGGAGAUCAACCUUGCUUUCGUCGGCUCGGUGUACUUUCCGGUCGGACGGGUCAGCAUCAGUUUCGCUCGCCGUACAAAAGCAAAGGGAACGUGGCACUCUACCCAGGGUGUGUUAUAGCCCUUCGUCGCA